rnacentral:rRNA from 1 species
UACGUAGGUGGCAAGCGUUGUCCGGAUUUACUGGGUGUAAAGGGCGUGUAGCCGGGCUGACAAGUCAGAUGUGAAAUCCGGGGGCUCAACCCCCGAACUGCAUUUGAAACUGUUGGUCUUGAGUAUCGGAGAGGUAGGCGGAAUUCCUAGUGUAGCGGUGAAAUGCGUAGAUAUUAGGAGGAACACCAGUGGCGAAGGCGGCCUACUGGACGGUGACUGACGCUGAGGCUCGAAAGCGUGGGGAGCAAACAGG